GUUGGUUUCACAGAUGGGAUAAGGGGGCUUCUGCUGUUGUUUCUGAAGAGAGUGUUGUUGGGUCCAGCUCUUCUGGGAUUGAUGUAUACAACCUCACUUACCUAGAGGGGAAUAGUUGACUGUGGGAUGUAAGUGGGGUUAAACUUUUGGUUGAUCCAAUUCUGGUUGGUAACUUGGACUUCGACAUUCCAUUGCUCUAUGACGCUGCCAAGAAAUUUAUUAGGAAUUUCAAGCUUUCUGAUCUUCCUCAACUUGAUUGCUUACUGAUUACACAAAACCUUGAUGAAUACUGCCAUUUAAGGACCUUAAAACCUUUCUCAGAAAUGUCCCCAAAUCUUAGAGUCUUCGCAACUCCAAAUGCCAAGCCUUUGCUGGAUCCUCUUUUCAGAAAUGUCACAUAUCUAGAACCUGGUCAGGAGUCUGAAGUUGAACCAAGCAAUGGUUCCAAAGUCAGAAUUCAAACUACUCCUGGGCCAACUCUUGGUCCUCCAUGGCAACGACCUGAGAAUGGCGCAAGGAUGAAGAACCAAAUAGGAUGGAUUUCUUCAAGGCAACUCAUUAUUCAAAUGACAAAGGAUGGACAACAUCUGAGGCACAAACAAAAUAUGUAAAACCUCACAAAAUUAAGUAUUAAAUUGUAAUUUUCAUCUAAGAAUUAUUUUAUUUAUGAAUGACUUUUUUUAGGAGAAAAUGGCGGAGUUGCAAUCAACUCCGGCUGAAGGAGCAGAACCUAAGAAUAUUGAUGAUAUAAUGGAUGAGGUACUUGGUACUAGACCAAGAUACAUUU